GUGGAGCCUGAGCAUUUCUUAAGAAGAAUACCUAGAAACAUCUGGGGUCCUUCUAUUUCAUUGUCUUACAAUUAUUAGGCUUUGUGUAAACGCUCGCAGAUUGAAUGACGAAAUAAAAGAAGAAACUACAGCACAGUCAAUUUUCUCCAUGACAGCCUGAGAGAUGUAGCUGGUGCUGCCACUUUUCCUUCAUUUUUCCCUGCCUUGAAUAUGGUGGUGAUGCCUGGAGCUUCAGCAGCCAUCUUAUGGCCAUGAAAUGGCAAGCAUGAGAAUGAAAGAAAAUGCACUCAUCAUGAAAGGAGGAAGAGCAGAAGAAAUCUGGGUCACUGGUGAUAUCAAUGGAUAGCUGAAGCAGUGCUGCUCUGGAUGGAAAAUGCCCUGGGUUCUCCGAGACUUAACACCCCGCCUUGUGAACGCGAGCAAGAUUAUUCUCUCUGAGCAGCUCUUUUCACAUGUGAUAAGCUUGGCAAGUUGCCCUGGAUUGAAUUCUCACCCACUGUCUUCACCCAACCCAGCAGAGAAGAAGGCUUGUGACUGUGUAAGCUGUCAAGAGGCAAGAUAAGGCAUUUGCAAUUGGCAGUGUUUCAAAGGACUCCAGAUUUCUCCAAAGAACCUAGAUUUCCCAGGUACUGAACAUGUGCAAAAUAGAAACAAACAUUCAAGAUGAGUGAGUGAUGAGUUCUGCCUGUGGUCAGAAGAAAACAACACUCCCAACUCUGCAACCUGAUCACUUCCCUACUUAGUCCUGUUUGUGGAGCCGCCUUAUUAACGACAUUAGAACAAAGAUAUGAAGGUUAAGUUGAAAGUUAAUGGAAGCUGCAAAGUGUUUGCCUUCUGUAUCUGCAAUGGAAACCCCACCUGCUGUCUUCUUGGUGUUUUUGUUCCUUGUCUUUAAGACCUGGUCUCAAAUUCAGAAGUUCAAUACCAGCGUCAGUUUGACUUGACACAAUCUAUGGUUGUAGUGUAUUGAUUUCACAAAUUGAACCUAUGGUGAGUUUGAAUUAUGAAUUGAGAGAGAAACAACUGUGGUGAAAACUGAAGUCAUGAGGUUUAUCUAUUCAGAACAUUCAAUAACUAAUUCAAACACAAAGUUUUUUUAUAUGUUUAAGGCAGAUAAGGUAUUGAAUCUGAUAGCUUUA
rnacentral:lncRNA from 1 species